CCUACGGGAGGCAGCAGUGGGGGAUAUUGCACAAUGGGGGAAACCCUGAUGCAGCGACGCCGCGUGGGUGAAGAAGCGCCUCGGCGCGUAAAGCCCUGUCAGCAGGGAAGAAAAUGACGGUACCUGAAGAAGAAGCCCCGGCUAACUACGUGCCAGCAGCCGCGGUAAUACGUAGGGGGCAAGCGUUAUCCGGAUUUACUGGGUGUAAAGGGGGCGCAGACGGCGAUGCAAGCCAGGAGUGAAAGCCCGGGGCCCAACCCCGGGACUGCUCUUGGAACUGCGUGGCUAGAGUGCAGGAGGGGCAGGGGGAAUUCCUGGUGUAGCGGGGAAAUGCGUAGAUAGCAGGAGGACCACCGGGGGCGAAGGCGGCCUGCUGGACUGCAACUGACGUUGAGGCCCGAAAGCGUGGGGAGCAAACAGGAUUAGAUACCCCAGUAGUC
rnacentral:rRNA from 1 species